GACGAACGCUGGCGGCGUGCUUAACACAUGCAAGUCGAACGAGAAUCUACUGAAAGAGUUUUCGGACAAUGGAUGUAGAGGAAAGUGGCGGACGGGUGAGUAACGCGUGAGGAACCUGCCUUGAAGAGGGGGACAACAGUUGGAAACGACUGCUAAUACCGCAUGAAGCAUAGGGGUCGCAUGAUUCUUAUGCCAAAGAUUUAUCGCUUCAAGAUGGCCUCGCGUCUGAUUAGCUAGUUGGCGGGGUAACGGCCCACCAAGGCGACGAUCAGUAGCCGGACUGAGAGGUUGAACGGCCACAUUGGGACUGAGAUACGGCCCAGACUCCUACGGGAGGCAGCAGUGGGGAAUAUUGGGCAAUGGGCGCAAGCCUGACCCAGCAACGCCGCGUGAAGGAGAAGGCUUCGGGUUGUAAACUCUUUAAGAGGGAGAGCAGAAGACGGUACCUCUAGAAUAAGCCACGGCUAACUACGUG
rnacentral:rRNA from 1 species